rnacentral:rRNA from 1 species
UAAAGGGCCGCGGUAUAUUGACCGUGCAAAGGUAGCAUAAUCAUUAGUCUUCUAAUUAAAGGCUGGAAUGAAUGGUUGGACGAGGUAUUAGCUGUCUCAUUGAAAUUUACUAAAAUUUAACUUCUUAGUCAAAAGGCUGAGAUGUAAUUGGAGGACGAGAAGACCCUAUAGAUCUUAAUACUUGAAGAAUUUAAUCUUUUUAGAAGGGUUGAGAUUUAAUUUGUAAAGUAUUUUGUUGGGGUGACAAGAAGAUAAAUCAAACUAUUCUUUAUUUAAAACACAAAUGAGUGAGUAAAUGAUCCAUAAGAAUGAUUAAAAGACUAAGUUACCUUAGGGAUAACAGCGUAAUCUUUUUUGAGAGUUCUAAUCGACAAAAAGGGUUGCGACCUCGAUGUUGGACUAAGGGUUAUUCUUGGGUGUAGAAGUUCAAGGUUUAGGUCUGUUCGACCUUUGAAUCCUUACAU